rnacentral:rRNA from 1 species
GAUGAACGCUAGCGGCAGGCCUAAUACAUGCAAGUCGAACGGGAUUGCGGUGUAGCUUGCUACACUGCAUGAGAGUGGCGCACGGGUGCGUAACGCGUGAGCAACCUGCCCAUAUCAGGGGGAUAGCCCGGAGAAAUCCGGAUUAACACCGCAUGUUACAGUAUUACCGCAUGGUAUAGCUGUUAAAUAUUUAUAGGAUAUGGAUGGGCUCGCGUGACAUUAGCUAGUUGGUGGGGUAACGGCCCACCAAGGCGACGAUGUCUAGGGGCUCUGAGAGGAGAAUCCCCCACACUGGUACUGAGACACGGACCAGACUCCUACGGGAGGCAGCAGUAAGGAAUAUUGGUCAAUGGGCGGAAGCCUGAACCAGCCAUGCCGCGUGCAGGACGACUGCCCUAUGGGUUGUAAACUGCUUUUGUACGGGAAUAACCCUCUCUACGAGUAGAGAGCUGAACGUACCGUAAGAAUAAGGAUCGGCUAACUUCGUGCCAGCCGCCGCGGUAA